AGGAGGAGGAGGAAGAGGAGGAGGAGAAGGAGGAGAAGGCGGCGGCAGCCAAGGAGGAUGCUGAGGCCCGGGGCGUCCGAGAUCAUGAGAGCCUGUAGCCACCAGUGUUUCAAGAGGAGCCCUGCCCCGUUCCUGCUGCUGUCUGGGUGCUACUGGGGAAACUGGCCACGGCCUCAAACUGGGAACCCUCUCCCGUCCCACCCCACCCGCUCUCCCCCUCCACUUGUUCCCCACUAUGAGCCCGGCCCCUGGAGCUUGAUCUGGCCCUCACCUCCGGGUCCCCAGUCUGCUGUGUCUUCAGCUCCCUGGGGGACACGAGGCUGUUGUGCUCCAUGCUGCUUGAAGCUGUUUCCCAGGGCUCCUGUUCCGCCUGACCCCCUCCUCCUCUCCCAUAGACAUUCUGGUGGCUUUGGGUAGGCGUGGAAAGGGUGGAGCAUAAACAGCAGGGUGGGCUUCAGGCUGGGGGUGUUGGGGGCCAGAAGGCAGCGUCCUGGGCUUCUGUCCCCAGUCCCACACGUCUUUCCCAGCUGCCGAGAUUCAGGGAAAGUGGGACAGCCUGUGGGGGAGGGGCUCCGUUCCGUAAAUCCUCCGAGAUUGACAUCACCCAGUCUUCUGCUGAUGAUCCAAGGGUUCCGGGGGUUUGGAUAUCAUCAAAAGAUUUUGGGGCUUCCUGAGAUCUGAAGGGUCGAUUUCCCCGUGUGGGUAGGAGUGUUGAGCGUCUGCCUCCUUUAGAGCUCUGGGGCCAGAGAUGAGGUGCCCUGGGGAAAGUCCCAGCUGCCCUGUCCCCUUUCUCACAGUGCUCAAGGCCAGCCUACAGUUACAUACACCACCCAGACGUAAAGGAAGAGACAAAUUUUUUAGGAAAUGUUUUUAAUAAAAGAAAAUUACAAAAAAAAUUUGAAGGCCCCCUAACCCUUUGUGUGCUCCCUGUCCUGCUCCUUCCUUCCCCAUGCUGCCCCCAUUUCUGAGGUGCACUGGGAGGCUCUCCUUCUGUGUGGGGCUUGAUGACUCUUUGUAGCUGGGGCUUUGGUGUUUCUUCUAGUGUCAUUUCCUAUCCACAUACCCUUACCUGGUCCGUUGGUAUUUUCACCAGAUCUGGUUUGUAAACUCACUGAGACAACAGAGUGAGUACCCGCUCCCAGCCUCUUCCUAGUGGUUUCCUGCCGCUCUGUCUUCUGUCUGUUAUCCCUGACCCUCUCCCUUGGGCUCUGAUGAAAAAUUGCUGACUGUAGCUUUGGAACUUUAGCUCUGAGAACUAUAGAUAAAUUCAGUUCUAGGAAAAUAAAACCUGUUGAUUACUACAUUGGAUUCUGUCUGAUCCUUUGGGGACAUAUUGGUUAACUGAAGAAGGGAAUAGAAAUGACUUCCAAAUCACCUUCUCAGAUUGGAAGGUUGGAAGUCUCAGUCUGCCCCCUUCUCAGGCCACUAGAAACCUAAAACUAAAUGAAAGCAGUCUUAGAAUAAACCAUACACCAUCCAUUCUGCCUUUUCUGCACACUGUUUAAGACAGUUUCAUCCCUGACGAGGUCUGGGGACAUAGUGGUGCACACCUGAAAUUCUAGCACAGGAAGAUCACAAGAGUUUGACCCUAGCUUUGGUGACUUAGCCUUUGUUGGGGAGGCAGUGUCUGGGGGUGUAGCUGAGUGCAGAGGCCCAGAGUGUAAUCCUCAGUACCACCCAGAAAAAUUGCACAAGAAAUGGGGUGUGGGAAGAAGCUGUCAAUACCUGCCACAGCCUAGCUGUGGGUGUUUGGGCUGGCUGUAGGAACAAUUUGACUCCCAGGGCUCAAGGGGAAGGCCAGAGAUUAAAGCAG
rnacentral:lncRNA from 1 species